rnacentral:lncRNA from 1 species
AAGUCUUGACGCAAUCGUCUCUGUGCUUGUAGCACGGGCCACCCCAGCAAGGACCAUCGCAGCACCACUUGAAUGCAUUUGGCGGAAAUAUGGCGUAGCGACAACGAUAGCUCACAUCCGUUAUGUUGAUCCCCAUCUUGUCGAUGCUCUGUCCUAAGAGAAAGAAAAUUGAAGUAGUUACAAUAUAUUCUCCCAAUAACAAGAUAAGUAGAUUUAUUCUGUAUAUGAAGUCAUAAAGUCUACAUGGAAAACCACUCUGGAUCUGAUCUUUCCAUGGGGUUGAUGAAGCAACUUUGAACAUACCGAUGACCACUCGAAAUAACAGACUUUAAUUGUUAAUUUUACCGUAUAUCGGCGGAGGAGUGGCCAAGCAAAUCACAAGAACCAACGAAAGUAGUAGGAGAGCUUGGCCAUUGUGCUUGAUGUGCUUCGCCAUGGUGUGAGAGAUUCACUGGGUCUUGGUUAUGUAUCCUUUACUUGCUGUUCAUUGCAGUGUAUGCAGAGCCUCACACAUAGCUGCACAUUGCACAUACAGAAGUGGUCAUAAUCAACUUUAAUUCAGAGCCUGUACAUUGCACAUAUGUUUUUUUCUAAGAGAAAAUAAGCUUCCUCCUCUCUUCAAGAUACAUAUUUUUCUUGUUUCAUCACAGCCGCUGUUAUGAGCUACAAAACUGCUAUCCAAAUCAACUAUAAUUCAGAGCCCUGUCUACUGGGAUUUUGUAAGCUACAAGAGUGAUGUCUAAGUCAAGAAUUUGGGCUUCAACAGCACCUGAAAGAGUCACUGUAGUGCUGCAGUCUCAGAAGAUCUGAGUUGAAGAAACUUACUGUAGUUGUUAUGAAUCAAAAGAGACAAUAUCAUGUUCUCUGAGUAUCUGAUGCUCAAAUAAACUAUGUGGAUGAUUCUUAUUUUGAUUCAUAAGAAAAUUAGCUGGCCGCUUCCCCUAAUUGAACUUCUCAAGGAAGCGAUCAAUGUAAGAGAAGGGUGUCAGAGAGAGCAUCCUCCAUUUCAGAGUGCUUAGCACGGGAAGCUCCAUACUGUGAAUAGCAUUUGCUUCAGAAGGGAGAGAUGACAAUGCUCUACCUUCUCACCACCGAGGCGAGGUGGACAUGCUCGGGGCGACGACUGCGGAGGAGAUCGGGCGGCAACCAGUAGCGACCCGAACCGGCGGCCGGCAGGCAGCUGGAAUACGAGGUAGGCGGCCAAGCUAGAAGACGAGGUCGACGGCGCUAGGGUUGGGCAGGAGCUGGGAGAAGAGGUCGGUGGUGGAGCUUGAGGAUCCGGUCGAUAGAACUCGGUGUCGGGCAGGAGCAGGAGGACGGAGCUCGGGUCGAGAGGCUGCUUACGUCGGCGGUGUCGGGGUCGAGCUGGAGCUGGAGGACGGCGAGGGGAUCGGCGCGGCCAGUGGGAGGGGGCGCCGGGAGACGAGGUGGGCGGCGCUCGGGUGCGCUUGCUGGGACGUGGGAUGGGGAACGGGCGGCGCACGGCCAGGGUUUGGUGGUGGCGCGGGGUUGGCAACGGCCGGCGGAAGCGGAACGAGGGGAGUGGGAGUGGC